UGUCCAGCAACUCCUAUCCCUACCUCCGCGUGGUACCGACUGGAAACUACGAGCAACCUUAGGGAAGAUCGGGUAACCAACCCCGGUGGGAACUUUGGUCGUAUGCUGACAGGGAAGG
rnacentral:ribozyme from 1 species